CGCUGCCAGCUGCGCCGUCAAUCUUCGCGUCGGCGAGCGGAGACCUCGCAGAGCGACGGGACCAGCAAGGCGCCCUCCUCGACGACCUGCUGCACAUCAACGCCGGAGUUGUUCCCGUGACGCCUUCUGCACCGACCCUUGGAGAAUCUGUCCAGACCGGCCGAUCUGCUUUCUCCAAUCGGACUGAGAAUAUGCAUGGUCUUCGACACAAAAGGCUUGCGGGAAGGACACGUGCAGCCCCUGGUGGCAGCUCCCAAGAGAUCAAUGAUGCUGCUGCCAACUCCCAGAUGAGCAUUGAUGGUGGUGAUGACUCCAAUGCUGCUGCUGGUGGCAGCAUACUGGAUAGAGAGGAGCCUCCCAAAAAAGGAAGAGGGAGAGGGAAGAGGAAUAGAACACAAAUGAGAGUGCCUCCACAUGAGGGGAAGGUUAUGUUGAGGCCAGUGGGAAACUGACAAUUCACCUAUGUCAAUUACAAUCCUAAAGGCUACAAGUAUGGCUCACAAGUUGGAGUAAUUAUCAAACGACUUUAUCCUGGUGAGAUCAAAAUCUGUGAUGAUGAAGGCAGGGUUGUUGAAACACGGGCGGCAUUGUCAUGGCAUGAUUACUUCUACAAAAAGGAUAAACUUGGUUUGACAUAUGCUAGACGAGUAAAGCAGGAAUUCUGGAGUUUGUUCACAACCACUCAAGCUGAUGUAAGAAGAGCCAACCAUAAUUUGGAGACAUAUCUUGUGAAAAGAGUAUCUGAUCUGAUAUAUCAAGCCUGUUUGGAUGCUGUAAAGAAGCAUGAGGGCUGUGAUGAUAAUCAAGCAUGCGAUAUAGAACUUACAGAAGAACAAUACUUAAAGUGCAGACCUGAUUAGGGCACCAGGGAAGGUUGGGCAGCCUUAUGCAAGUACUGGACCAGUGAGAAGUACAAGGAAAAGAGGAUAGCAGCACGCCUAAAAUUUGCUAACGUUGCUCAUAAUAGAGGUGGUUCAAGGCCAUGGGCAGAAACACAACAAUUGCUGGUAUGAUAUUUUCGAGCUUUCGAUUGUGUUUUGCUUCUGCUACUAAAUGAGACAUGAUAUGAAUAAUAAUGCCAUGAUUUUACAUAGAGCUAAUUACCUUAAGUUUCAAACAUCAUGUAACAUUAGUAUGAUGGUCUUGUAGAAGCAUAAAUUUAGUCCAGAGAAGGCUGGCACUUUAAACACAUGCAGUGAUGAAAUCUGGAUUAAAAAAUGUGGACAACACUGCAAAAAGUGCUCCAAUCCCCAGCCAAAAAGCACAAAAGCGCUUGGUAUGUAUGCCAUGCUUAACAUUUUGAUAUGAACUUUUUCUAGUCAUGCUUAGCACACUGGUAUUUCAUUUUAGGAUGAGUACAAUGCAAGAGCAAUGGUUGCUGAGAAUUCAAAGGAUUUAGGAUGCACACACUCUGUAUCACAUGGAAGGUGGUUUGCCCCAUGGUCGUGUACCAAUAGCUGAUGGUGCAGUGGAUAAGGAAGAGGUUAUAGUAGUUGCAAAAUCCAAUAAUCUACGUCCAGUCAAUACUGCUUCUUAUCGAACUGUGGUGGAUGAAAAUGAUGAGUUGAAGGAGAUGAAUAAGGAGUUGAGGGAG